rnacentral:lncRNA from 1 species
UCGAUGCGAUAUUAGGACCAAGAUCCAACGGACCUUCCCACCCCGAAGCCCCUCCUUCUCUCUCUCUCUCUCUAUCUCUCUUGCCCCUCCUCCUCCUCCUCCUCCUUCGCCCCAACCGGAUCUCCGACCGCCAGGUCGCCGCCCGACCCACCUUAUACGGCGAGGCCAACCCCUAACCCUAAUCGAUGGAGGUCUAGGGUUUCCACCAACUCACCUUAGGUCUCUCUUUCUCUCUCUCUCUCUCUCUCUCUCUCUCUCUCC